GGAGACUCGCUCCCAGGCUCCGGAGCCGUCCGGCCUGCGGACGUACACCGUUGCCACGGGUUGCUUUACGAGAAAGCAUUAGCAUGGCUCUCCAUAAACCAGAGAGUCUAGGUCAGACGUGUAUCCCAUCGAGUCGGCUUGCCCCGUAAGAUCGCCUUCCUAUUUUUCAGAAGGUCCCCUUAGGAGAGAAGUCGAUCGGGGGGAGAGGAACGCUGGGACGAAAUCGCGCCCCUUCGGCGGGACUCCGGGGAGAUACGGAAAUACGCGGAAAUCCUGCCUGCGAGGGACAGGGGUCUCUGGAAGGUCGGAAAUUCCCGGCCACUGGGAGAGUACGCAAAGGACAAAUUACAGGUAUGCAUCUGGAAAAGGAACUGCACUGGUCCAAUGUUUUCGAGUAAACGUGAAUUCUUCGAAUUCACCAGAAAAGGUAUUAAACACGACCGGACAAUAUUUAACUUGAAACAUCCGAUACCU